UGGGGAAUCUUGGACAAUGGGCGAAAGCCUGAUCCAGCCAUGCCGCGUGAGUGACGAAGGUCUUCGGACUGUAAAGCUCUUUUGGCGGGGACGAUAAUGACGGUACCCGCAGAAUAAGCCCCGGCUAACUUCGUGCCAGCAGCCGCGGUAAUACGAAGGGGGCUAGCGUUGUUCGGAAUUACUGGGCGUAAAGCGCACGUAGGCGGAUUUGUAAGUCAGGGGUGAAAUCCCGGGGCUCAACCUCGGAACUGCCCUUGAUACUGCAAAUCUCGAGUCCGAUAGAGGUGAGUGGAAUUCCUAGUGUAGAGGUGAAAUUCGUAGAUAUUAGGAAGAACACCAGUGGCGAAGGCGGCUCACUGGAUCGGUACUGACGCUGAGGUGCGAAAGCGUGGGGAGCAAACAGGAUUAGAUACCCCAGUAGUCCCUGAGCGGGCUGGCAAGGCGCAU
rnacentral:rRNA from 1 species